GUACGCUGGCGGCACGCCUUAUACAUGCAAGUCGAACGAAGUAGCAAUACUUAGUGGCAGACGGGUGAGUAACAUGUAGGUAUCUUCCCUUUGGUGAGGAAUAACACGAGGAAACUUGUGCUAAUACCUCAUAAGUCUUUACGGAGAAAGCUUUAUGCGCCGAAGGAUGAGCCUGCACUUGAUUAGUUUGUUGGUGGGGUAAUGGCCUACCAAGACUUUGAUCUAUAGCUGAUCUGAGAGGAUGAUCAGCCACAUUGGGACUGAGACACGGCCCAAACUCCUACGGGAGGCAGCAGUAGGGAAUAUUGCACAAUGGAGGAAACUCUGAUGCAGCGAUGCCGCGUGAGUGAAGAAGGCCUUUGGGUUGUAAAGCUCUUUCGUCGGGGAAGAAAAUGACUGUACCCGAAUAAGA
rnacentral:rRNA from 1 species